rnacentral:lncRNA from 1 species
AUUCCCGAGGGCUUUUUCUACUCGAUGUCCUUUUUAAUGCCUGCUUCUCAUAGCAUCUUUUUGCUGCUGGUGUGAAUUACAGUCACUCUGCUCAAAAUGUUUGCAGCAAAGGCCAUCUUCGAGGUCAGGAAAUCCUAUUAUCAGAUUUACUCUUCAGAGCAGAGGUGUCCAUAGUAGUGAAGUUGAGCCAUUCCCUGGAGCAUCUGUGGGGUCUUCAUGUUUGGGAAAUCUUGGGAUUCUUGAGAAGUGGUGACUCAACACAUGGAGUUCUUAGCCUGCUCAGAGGAAGGAGCAUCAACAGUCUUUCAAGAGUCAGCCUCAAACCCAGAACACACUCACACAAAUCCAGCUGAAGAUGAUUCUCGAGUGGCCAGAGUCCAGCAGGGCCUCAAUUCCUGCAGAAAUUGGGCCAAAGCUUUGGAGUCAGCACCCACCAGCCAGGCACCAACAGCCCCCAGGCAUGGGGAGCAGAGGAGAGUCACUGAAAGGCAAUGCGUUAAAAGAGGGGCUUGUUCUGCUCUCUCUUUGCCCCAUUUCUGUUCUGGGCAACCCAGCUAACCUGGCCCCUCUAAAUCUGUGCCCCUCUAAAUCUGAGCUUGGGACCAUCCAGAGCCUGUUUCUGCCCUUGUUCGUCCACCUGCCAGCCCUCCCCUGCUCCCCUCAUCACAGUUCUAGCCCACUGGAACCAUUUCUGGGUUUUGGCUGGAUUUAUCUUUCAAAGCUUUCAAGGAGAGUGAGAGGAAAACUGUCUUUGCAACUCUGGACACAUUGAAGGAGCUCAGGAAAUAUGAGCUGAAUUGGGUGAAGAAUGAAAGGAAGGAAGGAAAGAAGAGAGGGAGGGCGGAUUCUGCCCUCUGGAGUGCCCUGACGCCUUACAGACUCCAGAGGCAGAAAGGCUGAACACUCUUCAGGCAGGUGUCUGGCUGUGGAGGGCAGGUGGGAGGCGCAGAGCAGAAGGGAGGAGCUGGCCAACGCUCCAGUGAAAACAGGCCAGAGGCUGGGAGCUCACAGCUUCUACUGCCAGCCCUGGACGCUCCACGUCUGCCCCACUGACCUUCUUCCCAGGCCCUGGGAAUAUCAGAGGCCCCUUCUCUUUACUUUUGUCUUGUCUUUACUCCCGCUAUUUCUUCCAUGUAGGCUGCUCUUUCCUCUUCACAUUUCUCAUCCCUACUCCUUCAAGACCAGAUCACUCACUGUGGGGGCAGCAGCCCCGUGGAGAGGUCUGUGGUAGGAACCAAGGCCUCCUGCCAACAGCCUUGUGAGGGAGUCAUCUUGGAAGCAGGCCCUCUAGCC